AUGACUUUCAUCAUCAUCUUCAUCUGGACACUCACAGUCUUUACUCAAGUGUGUAGAGGACAGUUCACUGUUACUCAGAGUCAAUCAAAAACAGCAGUUCAAGCAGGACAACAACUUCAAAUAAACUGUAAAGUCAGCAGUAGAGUGCAUGAUGGUAAUCGUUUACACUGGUUCUUGCAGAAACCUGGACAGGCUCCUAAACUCAUCAUAUAUUGGGCAUCAAACCUCUACACUGGAAUUCCAUCAAGAUUCAGUGGCAGCGGAUCAAACACAGAUUUCACUUUGACCAUCAGAGGAGUUCAGACUGAAGAUUCAGGAGAUUAUUACUGUCAGGGUCAACACUAUAUCAGUAAUAGCUGGGUGUACACACAGUGA